UGCAGUGCUUUACCCAGUUUGGUGUCACUUUCGUGAAAGUCAAGUGCAUGACACCACACUGGGUAGUGUAAUGCUCA
rnacentral:pre_miRNA from 1 species